GUGCUAAAUUUGAUAGCCCAUUCACUAUAACUGGAAUGAUAGAAAACUAACAUGGCCUCUGUGUAAGGCUGACAUGCAAAUUUGCCAAGUGUUCUAUAUUUUA
ensembl:snRNA U6 U6 spliceosomal RNA